rnacentral:tRNA from 1 species
GUGUUUAUAGUUUAAUUAAAACGUUAGAUUGUGAUUCUAAAAACAAAAGUUGAAAUCUUUUUAUUCACC